GUCGAGCGGAGUGAUGGUGCUUGCACUAUCACUUAGCGGCGGACGGGUGAGUAAUGCUUAGGAAUCUGCCUAUUAGUGGGGGACAACAUCUCGAAAGGGAUGCUAAUACCGCAUACGUCCUACGGGAGAAAGCAGGGGAUCACUUGUGACCUUGCGCUAAUAGAUGAGCCUAAGUCGGAUUAGCUAGUUGGUGGGGUAAAGGCCUACCAAGGCGACGAUCUGUAGCGGGUCUGAGAGGAUGAUCCGCCACACUGGGACUGAGACACGGCCCAGACUCCUACGGGAGGCAGCAGUGGGGAAUAUUGGACAAUGGGGGGAACCCUGAUCCAGCCAUGCCGCGUGUGUGAAGAAGGCCUUAUGGUUGUAAAGCACUUUAAGCGAGGAGGAGGCUCUUUUGGUUAAUACCCAAGAUGAGUGGACGUUACUCGCAGAAUAAGCACCGGCUAACUCUGUGCCAGCAGCCGCGGUAAUACAGAGGGUGCAAGCGUUAAUCGGAUUUACUGGGCGUAAAGCGCGCGUAGGCGGCCAAUUAAGUCAAAUGUGAAAUCCCCGAGCUUAACUUGGGAAUUGCAUUCGAUACUGGUUGGCUAGAGUGUGGGAGAGGAUGGUAGAAUUCCAGGUGUAGCGGUGAAAUGCGUAGAGAUCUGGAGGAAUACCGAUGGCGAAGGCAGCCAUCUGGCCUAACACUGACGCUGAGGUGCGAAAGCAUGGGGAGCAAACAGGAUUAGAUACCCUGGUAGUCCAUGCCGUAAACGAUGUCUACUAGCCGUUGGGGCCUUUGAGGCUUUAGUGGCGCAGCUAACGCGAUAAGUAGACCGCCUGGGGAGUACGGUCGCAAGACUAAAACUCAAUGAAUUGACGGGGGCCCGCACAAGCG
rnacentral:rRNA from 1 species